rnacentral:rRNA from 1 species
GGGUAGAGUAACACGUAGAUAAUUUGUCUUUAUGGGGAGUAGGCCGAUGAAAUUUGGAUUAAUACCGCAUACAGCUAUUAACCGCAGUGGGGAGAUAGUGAAAGGGGAGACUUGAUAUAGGAGGAGUCUGCGGCACAUUAGCUAGUAGGUGAGGUAAGAGCUCACCUAGGCGACGAUGUGUAGCCGGUCUGAGAGGAUGAACGGCCACAAUGGAACUGAGACACGGUCCAUACUCCUACGGGAGGCAGCAGUGGGGAAUAUUGCACAAUGGGGGAAACCCUGAUGCAGCAACGCCGCGUGAGUGAAGAAGGUUUUCGGAUUGUAAAGCUCUGUUAGCAGGGAAGAGGAAGGACGGUACCUGCAGAGGAAGCCACGGCUAACUACGUGCC